rnacentral:rRNA from 1 species
UACAGAAGUCUCAAGCGUUGUUCGGAUUCAUUGGGCGUAAAGGGUGCGUAGGCGGCGCGGUAAGUCGGGUGUGAAAUCUUGGAGCUUAACUCCGAAACUGCAUUCGAUACUGCCGUGCUUGAGGACUGGAGAGGAGACUGGAAUUUACGGUGUAGCGGUGAAAUGCGUAGAUAUCGUAAGGAAGACCAGUGGCGAAGGCGGGUCUCUGGACAGUUCCUGACGCUGAGGCACGAAGGCCAGGGGAGCAAACGGG